ACCUGACUGGCUCAGUUGGUAGAGCGUGUGACUCUUGAUCUUGGAGUUGUAGGUCCGAUCCCCAUGUUGGGGG
rnacentral:tRNA from 1 species